rnacentral:rRNA from 1 species
UACGGAGGGUGCAAGCGUUAUCCGGAUUCACUGGGUUUAAAGGGUGCGUAGGCGGACAAGUAAGUCAGUGGUGAAAUCUCUGGGCUUAACUCAGAAACUGCCGUUGAUACUAUUUGUCUUGAAUAUCUUGGAGGUAAGCGGAAUAUGUCAUGUAGCGGUGAAAUGCUUAGAUAUGACAUAGAACACCGAUAGCGAAGGCAGCUUACUACAGGAAGAUUGACGCUGAGGCACGGAAAGCGUGGGGAGCAAACAGGG